rnacentral:misc_RNA from 1 species
GAUGAAGAACGCAGUGAAAUGCGAUAAUUAAUGUGAAUUGCAGAAUUUAGUGAAUCAUCGAAUCUUUGAACGCACAUUGCGCCCCCUGGUAUUCCGGGGGGCAUGCCUGUUCGAGCGUCAUUUCACCACUCAAGCCUCGCUUGGUAUUGGGCAACGCGGUCCGCCGCGUGCCUCAAAUCGACCGGCUGGGUCUUCUGUCCCCUAAGCGUUGUGGAAACUAUUCGCUAAAGGGUGUUCGGGAGGCUACGCCGUAAAACAACCCCAUUUCUAAGGUUGACCUCGGAUCAGGUAGGGAUACCCGCUGAACUUAAGCAUAUCAAUAAGCGGAGGA